rnacentral:tRNA from 1 species
GCAGUGGUGGUUCAGUGGCAGAAUACUCGCCUUCCAUUUGGGAGACCCGGGUUUGAUUCCUGGCCAAGGCA